CGCUCGGAGGACCCCAACCGCUGUGCUUGUGUCGGCGUGGUUGAUGGCAGGCAGCACCCACCCAGCAGCUCGGCAAGGUGCGAACCAUCCCGCGGGUGCUGCGCCCACAAGCCUCGUCCUUUCCGAUGUGUGCCGAGGGCAAGCCUGUUCACACCUGGGACCCAACGUACGUCCACAGAGAGAGAAAACAGGGAAAACGCAGCAAGAGCAGGCACUUUGGAAAGCUUCAAUGAUUUAGACGUGGAAGUCCCCAGACUGCAGAUGUACUGAUGGCUAUGAAGCACCCACGCCUGAGAUGUAGUAUGUGUGCUACACAGGCAGAUCCUCUGCGGCAGGAACGUAUGCUUGCUUCCUUGGCCAUUACACUGCCACGGUAAUAUUUUCCUCAAACCACGGAUCAGCCAGAAGACGAGUGGAAGGCAGUGAGGCAAG